AUUGAACGCUGGCGGCAUGCCUUACACAUGCAAGUCGAACGGUAACAGAUCUUCGGAUGCUGACGAGUGGCGAACGGGUGAGUAAUAUAUCGGAACGUGCCCAGUCGUGGGGGAUAACGCAGCGAAAGCUGUGCUAAUACCGCAUACGAUCUAUGGAUGAAAGCGGGGGAUCGCAAGACCUCGCGCGAUUGGAGCGGCCGAUAUCAGAUUAGGUAGUUGGUGGGGUAAAGGCCCACCAAGCCAACGAUCUGUAGCUGGUCUGAGAGGACGACCAGCCACACUGGAACUGAGACACGGUCCAGACUCCUACGGGAGGCAGCAGUGGGGAAUUUUGGACAAUGGGCGCAAGCCUGAUCCAGCAAUGCCGCGUGCAGGAUGAAGGCCUUCGGGUUGUAAACUGCUUUUGUACGGAACGAAAAGGCUCUGGUUAAUACCUGGGGCUCAUGACGGUACCGUAAGAAUAAGCACCGGCUAACUACGUGCCACG
rnacentral:rRNA from 1 species